ACGUGUAUGUUCCUAUGUGUUAUUAUUCUAUUUCCAUCCUCUUUCGUCAUUCAUGUACAAUCCAAGACUUAUCGCCGAUAUUGUACUUUUAUGAGCCACACAGCGUCACUGGCAAUAACCACGUGCUCUAUCGGGUGACAUGAGAUUUUUCCAAUUUUUUAGAAGUUCGGGUUGCUCAAAUAUUUGAUUAUCGUUAUUUAUUCUUUCCUUUUCUUUUUACGUUAUGGCAUGCUGUUGUUUGUUCCCCUUGCAUAUAUGUGUUUUGUCUACUUCACAUUAUUCAUCACCACAAGACGAAAAUUAUUACAUAUGCUGCCAGCCUACGUUAGACAACUAAACGUGUAUGCAUCGAAUUUCAAUGAAAAAAACAACUACGACUAAAUGCAACUACUCAGGGUUAGCCAUAAUGAGGUUUUAUUGUGGAAGAUUGGAGUGGAUUUCUUACAAGUCGAAUGUGCAUAUCCACGAUGUAUACCAAAGAUGACAAAACUUAUAAAAAAUACAAGGUUUAUACUUUUGUAUGUCAG
rnacentral:lncRNA from 1 species